UUGGCCAUACCACGUUGAAACACCAAUUCCCAUACGAUCACCGAAGUUAAGCAACGUCGAGCCUCGUCAGUAUCUCAAAUGGUGACCGCUUCGGAAUACCAGCUGCUGUUU